UACGUAGGGGGCGAGCGUUGUCCGGAUUUAUUGGGCGUAAAGAGCGUGUAGGCGGCCAGACAGGUCAGCUGUGAAAACUCGAGGCUCAACCUCGAGACGUCGGUUGAAACCGUCUGGCUAGAGUCCGGAAGAGGAGAGUGGAAUUCCUGGUGUAGCGGUGAAAUGCGCAGAUAUCAGGAGGAACACCAAUGGCGAAGGCAGCUCGCUGGGACGUGACUGACGCUGAGACGCGAAAGCGUGGGGAGCAAACAGG
rnacentral:rRNA from 1 species